CAGUAGCCGCGGUAACACAGAGGGUGCGAGCGUUAAUCGGAUUUACUGGGCGUAAAGCGUGCGUAGGCGGCUUUUUAAGUCGGAUGUGAAAUCCCUGAGCUUAACUUAGGAAUUGCAUUCGAUACUGGGAAGCUAGAGUAUGGGAGAGGAUGGUAGAAUUCCAGGUGUAGCGGUGAAAUGCGUAGAGAUCUGGAGGAAUACCGAUGGCGAAGGCAGCCAUCUGGCCUAAUACUGACGCUGAGGUACGAAAGCAUGGGGAGCAAACAGGAUUAGAUACCCCCGUAGUCCCUGUUUCUUAUAA
rnacentral:rRNA from 1 species